rnacentral:rRNA from 1 species
UACAGAGGGUGCGAGCGUUAAUCGGAAUUACUGGGCGUAAAGCGCGCGUAGGCGGCUUUGCAAGUCGGGUGUGAAAUCCCCAGGCUUAACCUGGGAACUGCAUUCGAGACUGCAUUGCUAGAGUAUGGGAGAGGGAAGUGGAAUUUCCGGUGUAGCGGUGAAAUGCGUAGAUAUCGGAAGGAACAUCAGUGGCGAAAGCGGCAUCCUGGACCAUUACUGACACUGAAAAGCGAAAGCCAGGGGAGCAAACGGG